rnacentral:lncRNA from 1 species
CAUGUCCAAAAAUCAACGUAUACAGAAAUUCACUCAUUAUGCUCUGUUUCUUUCUUUCUAAUCAGACAUAUCCUUUGUGAUGACUAAUGGUCACCUCACUGAUGCUUCUGGCUGGCAGCACUUACCUAGACAUUGAUUCUGGAUGAGGUCCAGGUCUCUUCUACUGACAGCUCUUUUUAUGCCAUUCCUUAUUGCAAUGAGAUAUAACAGAACCACACCAGUUUUACCCCAAGGAGAUGACUGCAGAUAUUACUUGAUUGAUGGCUACUCUAUUUUCCUUCUGAAUUUGUUUCACAACUGUCUCCGUCUCUUCUCUCCCUGAGAGUUACGUUAUGUCCAGAUGGGAAAGGGGAAAAGCAGAGUAAGUGCCAUUAAAAAUUCAGCAUGUGCUCCACUGCAGGGAUAGUAACACCUUUAUUCUCUUAUUCCAAGUAGAAGAUGGCACUGUUUCUGCAACUACCUGGGGCAGUGAGUUUUUCAUGGUAGCCUUGGUAAGAUAUACAUCCUAGCUGCAAGGGAGAGGUAGUUAGUUUUUCCCAAAUGCAUUACCUUGAAUAACAUUCCUAAAGUUUUCAAAACAAAGAAAUAACCUCUUCUCUCUCAACACUCAAUGUUUUGAAUUGUAUUUCACUCAAAACCAAAAACAAACAAACAACCU